rnacentral:piRNA from 1 species
UGUUGAAAUUGCCAUCUAAUUCCACUGC